AAAGGAAUAGACGGGGACCCGCACAAGCAGCGGAGCAUGUGGUUUAAUUCGAAGCAACGCGAAGAACCUUACCAGGACUUGACAUGCCAUUGACCACUAUAGAGAUAUAGUUUUAGCCUUCGGGCUACAAUGGACACAGGUGGUGCAUGGUUGUCGUCAGCUCGUGUCGUGAGAUGUUGGGUUAAGUCCCGCAACGAGCGCAACCCUUAUUUUUAGUUGCCAUCAUUAAGUUGGGCACUCUAGAGAGACUGCCGAUGACAAAUCGGAGGAAGGUGGGGAUGACGUCAAAUCAUCAUGCCCUUUAUGUCCUGGGCUACACACGUGCUACAAUGGUCGGUACAACGAGGAGCAAGCUAGCGAUAGCAAGCAAAUCUCUAAAAGCCGAUCCCAGUUCGGAUUGCAGGCUGCAACUCGCCUGCAUGAAGUCGGAGUUGCUAGUAAUCGCGUAUCAGAAUGUCGCGGUGAAUGCGUUCCCGGGUCUUGUACACACCGCCCGU
rnacentral:rRNA from 1 species